UACGGGGGGAGCAAGCGUUGUUCGGAUUUACUGGGCGUAAAGGGCGCGUAGGCGGUCAGCACAAGUCAGUUGUGAAAUCUCCGGGCUUAACUCGGAAAGGUCAACUGAUACUGUGCGACUAGAGUGCAGAAGGGGCAACUGGAAUUCUCGGUGUAGCGGUGAAAUGCGUAGAGAUCGGGAGGAACAUCAGUGGCGAAGGCGGCCCUCUGGACCAGUACUGACGCUGAGGCACGAAAGCGUGGGGAGCAAACAGG
rnacentral:rRNA from 1 species